rnacentral:rRNA from 1 species
UGGUGACUAUAGCAAGGAGGUCACACCUGUUCCCAUGCCGAACACAGAAGUUAAGCUCCUUAGCGUCGAUGGUAGUCGAACUUACAAAAGUUAACACAAAGAAAAAUGGCUUGGCGAAGU